rnacentral:rRNA from 1 species
GACGAACGCUGGCGGCGUGCUUAACACAUGCAAGUCGAACGGAAAGGCCCUGCUUUUGUGGGGUGCUCGAGUGGCGAACGGGUGAGUAACACGUGAGUAACCUGCCCUUGACUUUGGGAUAACUUCAGGAAACUGGGGCUAAUACCGGAUAGGAGCUCCUGCUGCAUGGUGGGGGUUGGAAAGUUUCGGCGGUUGGGGCUGGACUCGCGGCUUAUCAGCUUGUUGGUGGGGUAGUGGCUUACCAAGGCUUUGACGGGUAGCCGGCCUGAGAGGGUGAACGGGCACAAUGGGACUGCGAUACGGCGCAGACUGCUACGGGAGGCAGCAGUGGGGAAUAUUGCGCAAUGGGCGGAAGCCUGAUGCAGCAACGCCGCGUGCGGGAUGACGGCCUUCGGGUUGUAAACCGCUGUCGCCUGUGACGAAGCGUGAGUGACGGUAAUGGGUAAAGAAGCACCGGCUAACUACGUG